rnacentral:rRNA from 1 species
GAGUAAUAUAUCGGAACGUGCCCUACAGUGGGGGAUAACGUAGCGAAAGUUACGCUAAUACCGCAUACGAUCUACGGAUGAAAGUGGGGGAUCGCAAGACCUCAUGCUCCUGGAGCGGCCGAUAUCUGAUUAGCUAGUUGGUAGGGUAAAAGCCUACCAAGGCGACGAUCAGUAGCUGGUCUGAGAGGACGACCAGCCACACUGGGACUGAGACACGGCCCAGACUCCUACGGGAGGCAGCAGUGGGGAAUUUUGGACAAUGGGGGCAACCCUGAUCCAGCAAUGCCGCGUGAGUGAAGAAGGCCUUCGGGUUGUAAAGCUCUUUUGUCAGGGAAGAAAUUGCUCGGGCUAAUAUCCUGGGCGGAUGACGGUACCUGAAGAAUAAGCACCGGCUAACUACGUGCCAGCAGCCGCGGUAAUACGUAGGGUGCGAGCGUUAAUCGGAAUUACUGGGCGUAAAGCGUGCGCAGGCGGUUGUGCAAGACAGAGGUGAAAUCCCCGAAGCUUAACUUUGGGAAGUGCCUUUGUGACUGCAUGGCU